UACGAAGGUCCCAAGCGUCAUCCGGAUUUAUUGGGUUUAAAGGGUGCGUAGGCGGGCUAUUAAGUCAGUGGUGAAAUCCUGCAGCCUAACUGUAGAAUUGCCAUUGAUACUGAUGGUCUUGAGUACAUUUGAAGUGGGCGGAAUGUGUCAUGUAGCGGUGAAAUGCUUAGAUAUGACACAGAACACCGAUUGCGUAGGCAGCUCGCUAAACUGUAACUGACGCUGAGGCACGAAAGCGUGGGGAGCGAACAGG
rnacentral:rRNA from 1 species